UCCCUGGUAGCUCAGACGGUAAAGCGUCUGCCUACAAUGCGGGAGACCCGGGUUCGAUCCCUGGGUCGGGAA
rnacentral:tRNA from 1 species